rnacentral:rRNA from 1 species
GACGAACGCUGGCGGCGUGCCUAACACAUGCAAGUCGAGCGAGCGGCGGACGGGUGAGUAAUGUAUGGGGAUCUGCCCGAUAGAGGGGGAUAACUACUGGAAACGGUGGCUAAUACCGCAUACUAUCGGAUGAACCCAUAUGGGAUUAGCUAGUAGGUGGGGUAAAGGCUCACCUAGGCGACGAUCUCUAGCUGGUCUGAGAGGAUGAUCAGCCACACUGGGACUGAGACACGGCCCAGACUCCUACGGGAGGCAGCAGUGGGGAAUAUUGCACAAUGGGCGCAAGCCUGAUGCAGCCAUGCCGCGUGUGUGAAGAAGGCCUUCGGGUUGUAAAGCACUUUCAGCGAGGAGGCGUUACUCGCAGAAGAAGCACCGGCUAACUCCGUGCCAGCAGCCGCGGUAAUAC